UACGGAGGGUGCAAACGUUGCUCGGAAUCAUUGGGCGUAAAGCGCACGUAGGCGGUCGGCUAUGUCGGAUGUGAAAGCCUCGGGCUUAACCCGAGAAGGGCAUCAGAAACUGGCCGGCUUGAGUACGGAAGAGGGUCUCGGAAUUCCCGGUGUAGAGGUGAAAUUCGUAGAUAUCGGGAGGAACACCAGUGGCGAAGGCGGAGACCUGGGCCGAUACUGACGCUGAGGUGCGAAAGCGUGGGGAGCAAACAGG
rnacentral:rRNA from 1 species